CAGUCGCCGCGGUAAUACGUAGGUGGCAAGCGUUGUCCGGAAUUAUUGGGCGUAAAGGGCUCGCAGGCGGUUUCUUAAGUCUGAUGUGAAAGCCCCCGGCUCAACCGGGGAGGGUCAUUGGAAACUGGGAAACUUGAGUGCAGAAGAGGAGAGUGGAAUUCCACGUGUAGCGGUGAAAUGCGUAGAGAUGUGGAGGAACACCAGUGGCGAAGGCGACUCUCUGGUCUGUAACUGACGCUGAGGUGCGAAAGCGUGGGGAGCAAACAGGAUUAGAUACCCCCGUAGUCCCUGUCUCUUAUAC
rnacentral:rRNA from 1 species